GAUGAACGCUGGCGGCGUGCCUAAUACAUGCAAGUCGAGCGAACAGACGAGGAGCUUGCUCCUCUGACGUUAGCGGCGGACGGGUGAGUAACACGUGGAUAACCUACCUAUAAGACUGGGAUAACUUCGGGAAACCGGAGCUAAUACCGGAUAAUAUAUUGAACCGCAUGGUUCAAUAGUGAAAGACGGUUUUGCUGUCACUUAUAGAUAGAUCCGCGCCGCAUUAGCUAGUUGGUAAGGUAACGGCUCACCAAGGCAACGAUGCGUAGCCGACCUGAGAGGGUGAUCGGCCACACUGGAACUGAGACACGGUCCAGACUCCUACGGGAGGCAGCAGUAGGGAAUCUUCCGCAAUGGGCGAAAGCCUGACGGAGCAACGCCGCGUGAGUGAUGAAGGUCUUCGGAUCGUAAAACUCUGUUAUUAGGGAAGAACAAAUGUGUAAGUAACUAUGCACGUCUUGACGGUACCUAAUCAGAAAGCCACGGCUAACUACGUG
rnacentral:rRNA from 1 species